UGCAACCGGUUUCAGUCCGACAACCACCGGCUUAUUAUGCGAUGGUUGGGUCGUCUAUCAUUUCCGUCAUCGACCGUUUCUUUUUACGGUGAUAGACGGCUUGAGUCCGGCAUGUGUCGGCUCCUUCGGCGACAUCAUGGUCGGUUUUCGUCUAGGGUUUCACUGUCUCGUCUCUGUGAUUCGUCUAGCUUCGGUUUAUCUUUUGAUUUGGUUUUUGUUGUUUGUGAAGUUGCUUCUUCUCGAAGGUUCCGACAGCUUCCUUUGCCUUGGAGAAUUCACUUCGAUUCGAGUCUCUGUUGGUGCAUAAAAAAAUUGGGAUUUUGGAUCUGUUUUUCGAACCAUCCUUUGACUUGAUUUGUUGGGAAGCUGCAGAAUUAGUUUGGGCACAGUGGUUUUGAAGGUUCUGUGACGGUUUUCAGUGUACCGGAGAAGAUGUUCCGGUGACUCCAUUUUGCUGGCGUCAUUACUCAGGCCACUUUGAUGACUCACCUUUUCUUUGGCUGAUUGUGCAACACGUGGAUUCAUCCUUAUCUCUUUGUUAUCGCUUUUGAUAUUUUAUUUUAGUUUGGCUUUUUAAUCAGGGUUAAGCUUCUAGUGUAGAUUGUUUUAGUUUUAUGCUUUUAUCUGUUUAGUUGUUUUAUAAUCAGAAUAGAAGUUAUCACCCUGCUCGGAUGUUAAGAUGGUGAGCAAGAAGCAACCAUACUACAAGAAUAUGAUGGAAGCUAUAAGAUCAGCUCUAAACCUUUGAGUUUUGAUGUUUGGUCUUAUUGAGAUUAGUUAUGAUGUUGCUGUUAACAAGCUACCAUUUCACAACGUUCCCUUUAGUGGCAGAAUGGGUUGUACUUUACUUGAAUUUGGUUGAUUGUAAAAUUUGUUGUUGUAUCUUGUACUUGCCUCUCCAACAUGGGUUCUCCAUUGAUGGAUGAUGUUGUUUGGAUGUUAUAUAUACAAAGACACCCUUUGGAAAAAAAAAAAAAA